GUUCCUUCGGGAACUGGAGAGUGGCGCACGGGUGAGUAACGCGUGGGGACCUACCUUUCAGUGGGGGAUAACGGUUGGAAACGACCGCUAAUACCGCAUACGCCCUUCGGGGGAAAGAUUUAUCGCUGAAAGAUGGACCCGCGUUGGAUUAGAUAGUUGGUGAGGUAACGGCUCACCAAGUCAGCGAUCCAUAGCUGGUUUGAGAGGAUGAUCAGCCACACUGGGACUGAGACACGGCCCAGACUCCUACGGGAGGCAGCAGUGGGGAAUAUUGGACAAUGGGCGCAAGCCUGAUCCAGCCAUGCCGCGUGAGUGAAGAAGGCCUUCGGGUUGUAAAGCUCUUUCAGAUGCGAAGAUGAUGACGGUACCAUCAGAAGAAGCCCCGGCUAAUUUCGUGCCAGCAGCCGCGGUAAUACGAAAGGGGCAAGCGUUGUUCGGAUUUACUGGGCGUAAAGGGCACGCAGGCGGUCUUGCCAGUCAGGGGUGAAAGCCCGGGGCUCAACCCCGGAACUGCCUCUGAUACUGCAAGACUAGAGACUAGGAGAGGGUGGUGGAAUUCCCAGUGUAGAGGUGAAAUUCGUAGAUAUUGGGAGGAACACCAGAGGCGAAGGCGGCCACCUGGACUAGAUCUGACGCUCAGGU
rnacentral:rRNA from 1 species